rnacentral:rRNA from 1 species
UACGUAGGGCGCAAGCGUUGUCCGGAAUUACUGGGCGUAAAGCGCGUGUAGGCUGCUCUGCAAGUCGGAUGUGAAAGCCCUGGGCUCAACCUAGGAAGUGCACUCGAAACUGCAGAGCUUGAGUCUCGGAGAGGGUCGCGGAAUACUCGGUGUAGAGGUGAAAUUCGUAGAUAUCGAGAGGAACACCGGUGGCGAAGGCGGCGACCUGGACGAUGACUGACGCUGAGACGCGAAAGCGUGGGGAGCAAACAGG